AAGCGUUGGCUCCCUCUUCGGGAGUGCAGUUCGAUUCAGGCCAAGCAACGGGGACCUGAG
ncrna:unclassified sequences Glutamine-II riboswitch (downstream peptide RNA)